rnacentral:rRNA from 1 species
UUUAAUUCGAUGCAACGCGAAAAACCUUACCCACCUUUUGACAUGGCAGGAAUCCUAAAGAGAUUUGGGAGUGCUCGAAAGAGAACCUGCACACAGGUGCUGCAUGGCUGUCGUCAGCUCGUGUCGUGAGAUGUUGGGUUAAGUCCCGCAACGAGCGCAACCCUCGUCCUAUGUUGCCAGCGGGUCAUGCCGGGGACUCAUGGGAGACUGCCGGGGUCAACUCGGAGGAAGGUGGGGAUGAUGUCAAGUCAGCAUGGCCUUUAUAUCCUGGGCUACACACACGCUACAAUGGCCAACACAAUAGGUUGCUAAGCCGCGAGGUGGCGCCAAUCCAUAAAGUUGGUCUCAGUUCAGAUUGUAGGCUGCAACCCGCCUGCAUGAAGAUGGAGUUGCUAGUAACCGCAGGUCAGCUAUACUGCGGUGAGUACGUUCCCGGGGCUU